rnacentral:rRNA from 1 species
UACGUAGGGUGCGAGCGUUGUCCGGAAUUAUUGGGCGUAAAGGGCUCGUAGGCGGUUUGUCGCGUCGGGAGUGAAAUCCACUGGCUUAACUGGUGGCUUGCUUUCGAUACGGGCAGACUGGAGGUAUGCAGGGGAGAACGGAAUUCCUGGUGUAGCGGUGAAAUGCGCAGAUAUCAGGAGGAACACCGGUGGCGAAGGCGGUUCUCUGGGCCGAAAUUGACGCUGAGGAGCGAAAGCGUGGGGAGCAAACAGG